AUUGAACGCUGGCGGCAGGCCUAACACAUGCAAGUCGAGCGAGCGGCGGACGGGUGAGUAAUGUAUGGGGACUGCCCGAUAGAGGGGGAUAACUACUGGAAACGGUGGCUAAUACCGCAUACUAUCGGAUAACCCAUAUGGGAUUAGCUAGUGGGUGGGGUAAAGGCUCACCAAGGCGACGAUCGCUAGCUGGUCUGAGAGGAUGAUCAGCCACACUGGUACUGAGACACGGCCAUGACUCCGACGGAGGCAGCAGUGGGGAAUUUUGGAAAAUGGGGGAAACCCUGAUCCAGCCAGCCCGCGUGUAUGAUGAAGGCCUUGGGGUUGUAAAGUACUGUGGGCAGAGAAGCGGUAUCUGAAGAAUAAGCACCGGCUAACUACGUGCCAGCAGCCGCGGUAAUUC
rnacentral:rRNA from 1 species